CUGAAGGAGAGCGUGUGUUUACACCAUCACCUGUCAAACAGAGAAGCCCUGCUUUAUUUUCAUUCUGUAAGGACCAGAAAAAACGGCUCACACUGAAGCGACUACGGUAGCUAUCAACUGGACGGACUCUCUGGCCAUCGACCAUUUGCAGCACCGGACAACGGUACCAUACUCGAACCAUGAGCUCAGUGGCGGUGUUGACACC